ensembl:lncRNA
AUGCCCAGAACCAAGACUGUCCCAGUCACUCCUCUGUCCCUGAGGCCUGGCUCCCAGGGAACUGGACUGGGAGUGGGCCUGAACUGCCAGCCUUUCCAGCCACCUGGGUGUCUGCACAUGCUCAGAGAUGACUUUCCCAAAGUACAUUCCCUCGCGCUGGGACAGAACCUGAGGAUGGACGUCGUUGGCACACAGGGUGCCUCGUCUAACCUGGCUCUACAACAGGAAUCUAUGUCCAAGUUCGGAUGCACAGAUACAUGUGUACACUUUGGGGCAAAGGUGGCAAGCUCAGCAGGUUCUUGGAGGAUCCUGGGCACGCAGAAGGUGCAGCGGCCUUCUGCCAGUAUGCGCAGGGCAGAUCAAAGCUCAGCCCAGCAGACCUCAGGCUUACCAGUCUCCAUCGUCUACCCAUCUGGGCCGGCAGCAGAGAGCAGCGCCUCCUGGAUGUCUCUCAAGGAGGAGCUCCGGCUGCGGGGCAAGGAGGAGCCCCCUUCUCUGGAAGACUCCUCCACCAACUGCCAAGCCCAGCCACACGCCGGGGGUAGCGUCACAGAGGCCGCGACAUCACAGGCACCGGCGCCCCCCACCCCACCCCACCGCACUCCCCGCAUCUCUCCCGCUCCCCACAGCCUGUCACCAAAGAGCGCACUGGAGGCGGAGGGGCAGCAGCCACCAGCCCGCUCCCCGCCUCCGGUACAGAGUCCAGAGUCUCGGGCCUUGGAUCUCCCAGGUGUCUAACAAGGGGGCCCAGAUUUCCCCCACCCCCGGAUUGGCGGCUUUCUUCUCAGAACUUUCUCUCCCAGGACGACUUGGGCCAGCCUUCAAAACGUGCCAAAAAUCAACAACCAGAGAACAGCUUUCCCCUCAACAAACAAAUGGAUGCAGAGAUCUUAAAUCACUCCUGCAAUGUUUAUUGCAUCCCCUUCUCUUUUUUCUUUUUUUUUAUCUUAGAGAACUGUGUUUUAUUGUAUUUUUAAUUGAAGUAUUGUUGAUUUACAAUGUGUUAAUUUCAGGUGUACAACACAAUGAUUCAGUAAGAUAUACAUAUAUAUAUAUUCUUUUUCAGAUCCUUUUAUAGGUUAUUGCAAAAUAUUGAGUAUAGUUCCCUGUGCUCUACAGCUGCUUGGUUAUCUAUUUUAAUAUAUAGCAGUGUGCAUGUUAUUCCUACCCACCCACCCCCUUGAAACUGAAAGUGUUAGUUGCUCAGUCCUUUUCAGUUCUUUGCAACCCCGUGGACUGUAGCCUACCAGGUUCCUCUGUCCAUUGGAUUCUCCAAGCCAGAAUACUGGAAUGGGCUGCCAUUUCCUUCUCCAGGGCAUCUUCCCAACCCAGGAAUCAAACUCAGGUUUCUUGCAUUGCAGGCAGGCUUUUUACCACCUGAGCCAUCAGGGAAGUUGCUUUCCCCUUCGGUAACAAUGCGUUUUCUGUGUCUGAGAGUCUCUGUUUUGUAAAUAAGUUCAUUUGUUUGUUUGUUUUUAGUUUCCACAUAUAAGUCAUAUCAUAUUUGUCUUCCUCCGUCUGGCUUCUUCAGUAGUAUAAUAAUCUCUAGGUCCAUCCAUGUUCCCUGGAGAAGGGAACGACUAAGAAUACUGGAGUGGUCCAGUAUUCUGGCCUGGAGAAUUCCAUGGACUGUAUAGUCCAUGGGGUCGUGAAGAGUCGGACACGACUAAGAGAUUUUCACUCACUCACUUCAUCCAUGUUACUGUGAAUGGUAUUAUUUCAUUCUUUUUUAUGACUGAAUAAUAUUCCAGUGUGUGUGUGUGUGUGUGUGUGUGUGUAUCACACCAUCUUUAUCCAUUCAUCUGUUGAUGAACAUUUAGGUUGCAUCCAUGUCUUGACUAUUGUGAAUGCUGUAAUGAACAUUGGGGUGCAGGUAUCAUUUCAAAAUAGAGUUUUCUCCAGACAUUCUCCAGUGGAAUUGUAAGAUCUUGUGGUAACUCUGUUUAGUUUUUAAAGGGAUCUCCAUACUGGUCUCAAUGGUGACUGCACCAAUUUACAUUCCCACAAACAGCAUAGGAGGGGUUUUUUUUUCUUCACACUCUCUCUAGCGUUUAUUAUUUGUCAGCACUUACUCUUACUCUGUGCUAGGCCCUGAGUCUAAUGAGUCAACUAAAAAUUAAAAUUUGGGUUAGACAGCCAGGUAUGUCACAGAGAUAAUGACAAUGGAGAUUUGAGUUGGGCUGUCAGGCAUGAGUAGGAUUUUUAUCAGGAGAGAGACUUUCUGAGUAUCAGAAACAGCAUGUGCAAAGGCACUGAGGCACAAAAGUUCCCUCCACGCUCCAGGGCCUCUUGAGCUUGGGGCAAGGCAGGGAACUGGAUACCAGGAGAUGAAAAAAGGCAGAGAUCAGACUAUGCAGGAUCUUUGAGGCCACCCUAGAGUCUGGAUGUGAGCAGGUGUGAUGCAACAGGCUUGUUCUGCAGUCAUUGAAAUGCCCGGGUUGGAGCCGGGGUCAGGGUGAAUGUGGAUCAGUAGCCUAUGUUGUAUUACAUCAGCUAAAGGCCUAGAGAAAUUUCAGCCAGCACAGUGGGUAGCACCAUGGGGUUUGGAGCCGAUCUGACUUGUGUUCAGGUCAUGGUGCUAUUCUUAAGAGCUGUGUGACUUGAGCAAACUUCCUCAUAUAUGAGAGGAGAGUCAUGGCCACCUGUGCAGUGUGUGACCCUGAGGGUUGAAUGCAUGCAAGCACUCAAGCACCGAGUGUUGAGGGGAUCAUGAGUCCUGGGUUUGUGUUGACUUUGGUGUCGGAAGAGGGGAGAGGCAGUGGGGAUGGAGAAACGAUGUGCACUGGGUCAUUAAUAGUGGUGGGAAGGUCAGGAGCUGGGGACAUGAGGAGGUUGCAAGUGACCCAGGUCUCUAACUGGGAUGAUAGGAUAAAUGAAGAAACCAGGGAGAGGAGUUUAUUAAGAGAUGAGAGAUUGGAAAGGAAGAUGGGUCAAACAUGCAGAACUGUGUUGGCCAUCCUAGAGUCUGGACACCAAGGUAUGAACUUGAUGCCCAAAAUGGGAGAUAAUCUGAAGGGUUUCGCGGGGUGAGAGGAAUAAGGAAACCAUUCUCUUUUUUUAAAUAAUUUUGUUUAUGUAUUUAUUUUUGGCUGCACCGAGUCUUCAUUGCUAUGCAGAGACUUUCUCUAACUGUGGCAAGCAGGGGCUACUCUCCAGUGGUGGUACACGGGCUUCCCCUUGUGGCGGCUUCUCUUGUUGCAGAGCAUGGUCUCCAGAGCGUGGGCUCAGUAGUUGUGGCGCAUGGGCUUUGUUGCUCCAUGGCAGAUGGGAUCUUCCCAGACCAGGGAUCGAACUUAUAUCCCCUGCAUUGACAGGCAGAUUCUUAACCACUGGACCACCAGCGAAAUCCCAGGAAACCAUUCUUUGCACAGACUUUUGCUGAGAAUCCACCUGUGCCUGACUCUGUGUAGAGGAUCAGAGAUUCAAAGUAAGCAAAUCACACACCCAACCCACCUCUUAACUGAAGCUGUGCACUUAGAUAGAGGUCUGCUGUGGGGGGGCCUGGGGGUAGAGAGGAAGGGAGCAACUGGAGGAAGACUCCUCAGCUUAGCACCUUGAGGUAGAGUCUGGGAGGUCUUUAGGAAGAGGUGAGCCCCUAGCUCACCUAGUCAUGACAAUAGGAAAGGGGAAUUCUAUUCAAACUACUCAACUCAGGCUUUGACAAGGAAUCCAUAGGGUUUUAAACAAAGUGAAGUUGAGGCCUCCUGAGGGGAAAAUGUGUAAUCAGUGACUGCAGUUUAAGUCUAGAACUCAGGAGAAGUGGGAGUAAGAAAUAGAAAUUGGAGGGUCAAGUGAGAGUAUGAAAUAGAGAUUGGAGGGUCUCCUGUGGUACAGCCACAGGCUUGAAAGCUCAAGGGGCAGAGAUUGUGUAUGUUCAUCACUAUGUCCUCUGCCCUUAGCACAAUCCCUGGACAAUAGCUGGCCUCAGCAUUUUUUAAAUAUAUUUAUUUGGCUACACCAGGCCUUCAAUCUUCACAAAGACCUUCAAUCUUUGUCGUGGCAUGUGGAAUCUUUAGUUGCAGCAUGCCAACUCUGAGUUGUGGCAAUGUGGGAUCUAGUUCCCUGACCAGGGAUCAAACCCUGGGCAGAGUCUUAGCCACUGGACCACCAGGGAAGUACCCCUGGAGCUCCACAUUUCUUUUUAACUUUUAUCCAAGAAAUACAUGCAUAUGGUUGAACAGUACUGAAGAGCUUAUUCAGUGAUUGAAAAGCAAGAAUCCCCUAUACCACAUCCCCAGCCUCACUCCUCAGAGCAACCACCACUAUUUCAUUUGAACUAUUUUUCUGCCUGGUUACCAUUUCAUCUUUCCACAAGCUCACAGGCUUCUUCUUGGACCACCUACCCACUGUAAUGGAACCACCCUGCCCCAUCUUCCCAAUAACAAUUAUUUUUAGAUCUGCUAAUGCCUUUGUAAAUUUAAUAUAUUUAUUUUUCAUCAACUUUAGAGAGUAUCUUUUGACACAUAUAGUAAGAUGUUUUAGUGACCUUUGUAAAUUUAAUAUAUUUAUUUUUCAUCAACUUUAGAGAGUAUCUUAACCACUGGACCACCAGCGAAAUCCCAGGAAACCAUUCUUUGCACAGACUUUUGCUGAGAAUCCACCUGUGCCUGACUCUGUGUAGAGGAUCAGAGAUUCAAAGUAAGCAAAUCACACACCCAACCCACCUCUUAACUGAAGCUGUGCACUUAGAUAGAGGUCUGCUGUGGGGGGGCCUGGGGGUAGAGAGGAAGGGAGCAACUGGAGGAAGACUCCUCAGCUUAGCACCUUGAGGUAGAGUCUGGGAGGUCUUUAGGAAGAGGUGAGCCCCUAGCUCACCUAGUCAUGACAAUAGAAAGGGAAUUCUAUUCAAACUACUCAACUCAGGCUUUGACAAGGAAUCCAUAGGGUUUUAAACAAAGUGAAGUUGAGGCCUCCUGAGGGGAAAAUGUGUAAUCAGUGACUGCAGUUUAAGUCUAGAACUCAGGAGAAGUGGGAGUAAGAAAUAGAAAUUGGAGGGUCAAGUGAGAGUAUGAAAUAGAGAUUGGAGGGUCUCCUGUGGUACAGCCACAGGCUUGAAAGCUCCAAGGGGCAGAGAUUGUGUAUGUUCAUCACUAUGUCCUCUGCCCUUAGCACAAUCCCUGGACAAUAGCUGGCCUCAGCAUUUUUUAAAUAUAUUUAUUUGGCUACACCAGGCCUUCAAUCUUCACAAAGACCUUCAAUCUUUGUCGUGGCAUGUGGAAUCUUUAGUUGCAGCAUGCCAACUCUGAGUUGUGGCAAUGUGGGAUCU